CAAAUUCCUCCUUUUUCACCCGCGAAGAGCCACUGCCUACCCCGCAUCUUUCUUCUGCCCCGAUUCAACCGGCUCUCUUCUCCCCAAGAUUACAGCCCCGAUUGGAACGACUGGCGGCGGCAGAUCGGGGGAGGUCGCCCUACAGGCCGAGCUCGGAUCCACCCAAACAUCCAGCCCCGCGAGCACCCGGCCCUCUUCUCCCCCAACUGCAGCGACCCGUGACGCCAGAUUGAAAGAGGCUGCCCCGCCGCCGAGGUUGGACCCACCGCAUCAACCCGCCCAGUGAGCACCCGGCUCUCUUUUCCCCAGCGACCGACGACUUUUCGGUGAUUUCCUCAUGCCGCCCUCCUCAUCCAGCCACCCCUUGGCGUUCAAUGAUUAGGUUUCAUGCAUACUAGUACUAAUCACCUCGCCCUUCUCUGCAAUUAGGAUUUGCUACAGCCUGCGAUGUUAAAAAGCCUGAACCUCCUGCUAGAUAACUUUACUUGAUAUCCUAUUAAUAGGUCCGUGUGCAAAACCGCAAUAGUGACCAUGGUUUUGCAUUUGUUAUAGCCUGCUAUUGUCAAAAGGGAUGAACCUGAAUAUAUGCUACUGUAGCACUGUUAGCCGUUAUGGAAAAGUUCAGUUAGGUAUGAGAUGUGUGGCCUUAGCUGGGAGAUUUCUUUUGCUUCCAUGUGCUUGUAUGGCUACUCUUGCAUUCAGAAGAAAAUUAUAUGUUAACCAUCUGAUGGUUGUACCCUGCUGUAAUGAAUAAAACUAGAUGCUCUUGAUCGCUGUAUGGUGUCAUAAUCAGAUGAACAUAAACACAUGAACUAAAGUAUGCAGCAUAUAAAAGGAGAACUAAUUACAAGUAGGAAGCAGUGCAUCCUUGUAUCCCUGUAUCUAUAUGUCAGGAUAAACUAGCUUCUUGAUGCAACCACUUUAUCUAUGUUAAAACGUGAAACUGAAUUCUAUGUUUGUGGUUCUGUUGUCCCAUAAAUAGUCCUUAACUAGUGCUGUCAAAACUGAAUAAAGACUGAGACUGCACUUGAUUUUGACUCCUUAAGGAGAUGUAUAGCUCUGUAUCAGUGUACUUUUGUCUACAGUACUAGUCAAAAGAGAACUAAACUUAACCUUUGACAUGCCUCUCCUAAUUUAGCUACCCAUGAUGUUAAGCGUCUGAAGCCCACAAGCAUUUUCAGUACGCCCAGAACUUGAUAAAAGCAGAUACAUGGUAAACUUUAGUUUUUUUACUAUAUUCUGACAUACUAAGCUGGGUAAAAUCAACCUGCUCCUACUUUGCAAACAUACAACACCAUCCAUCGAGCCUUAAUUCUGAAAUAGCAGUAAAACUUUCCGGUUUCUAAACUAUGCCAUACUAAGCUGACAUACUAAGCUGGGUAAAAUCAACCUGCUCCUACUUUGCAAACAUACAACACCAUCCAUCGAGCCUUAAUUCUGAAAUAGUAGUAAACUUUCUGGUUUCUAAACCAUGCCAGUAGCUCCGGUAAUCAUAUAUUUUUGCUGUUUUUUUUAUUCUGAACAUUCUAGUCUUGUUUUUAUUGGCUUGCUGGCUGCUUCUCCCUGACUGUGACCCAGCUGCACCAUGCAUGUUGAUUUGUUUACUUGUUAGAUCCCAAUGCGUGAGAUCUUCAUUUUGUAUUUAUACAUUCUGACAUGAACUUCUUGUUGGCACUGCUGCCUGCUUACGAGUUAUGACUGUUUUACACAAUCUAGUUUCUUUUUGUCUACCACCAAUGCGAAGCCAACUUGUAAUAGCUAAAUCAGUCAGUUACGUUACAAGUACUCCUCCAUCCAUAUGCUUACUCAUAGUGCAAGUAAGAGUAAAUGUUUUCCAUUAGUUUCACUUUAACAAUUAGUUAUACACGAUAUUAGUGCAUCCCGUGCUUGCAUCCUAACUUAUCUACUUUAUUAUAUUCAUGUAAGCUCUAGGAAGGGGCUUUGAGAGAUGAAGAGGAAGCCACUCUUGCUAUGUCCAAAGCAAUGGUAAUAUAUCGUGUGGACUUACAUCUUGAAUAAUGUGUACAUCAGUGUGCAUUCACUGGCUUUAAUUAGGUCUUAUGUUUCCACUUUCAGCAAAAUUGAAAACGGCAAGUAUAAUAAUCAGGAGCCAAGUCCCAUUGAGUUUUUCAAAGAGACCCAUACUAACAGCAUGAGCGAGCCGACACAUCUAGCUUAUAAUGCAAUGGAAAAGAAAAGGGAAACACAAUCAGAAGUGACAACCAGUGUUUGAUUCAAUGAUUGUGGCUGAAGUUCUAAAGGAAGAAAACGCCCAUAGCACCUUCCUUUCUAGCAUGAGUUAUGCAUCAAGAUCCGGGAGAUUUGGGAACUCUAAUUCAUCAGCAAGGAUCUGAGUUCUAGAAGAAAGAAUUGAGCAAAAGGAUAGAGAGGCGAGAGAUGCAAAUGACAGGCACUGAGAGGAGUUAGUGGUGAGACUUGAAGCACAAGUGAGAGCAUUUGAAGAGGUGUAGAGGAAGCAACACGAAUAAUUGGAAGAUGUGAAGAAGAUCGAGCAAGAGAAGAAUGAAGCCUGGCAAAAGAAGCAACAAGAGACGGAUAUCCUGAUUGGUUUUCUCUUAAGGCUCAAGCAACUUAGCAAGCAACUUAGCAGUCCUAAUCCAAACUUAAUGGUGCAUGAAGGCCAUCCUUUUGCGAUGGAAAGAUAGUUGUUGAAUCAUACAUUGCAAUCAUCAGGAUAACACAUGUGGUCUUUACUUAUCUAAAUAUUGCUUUUCAACUUGUCUAUUCUUCUGUCAAACUCGUGAGUCAGUGUUAAUUUUUACUAUGAAACACAAGAGGACGAAUUGGCUGAGACGAUUAAAUAUAUAAUAUCAUAAAUUUAUGAUGUGA